AACAGCAACUUUGGGACGAAUUCCACUCUACCAGACACAGCUGGGAGCAGAACAAUCCCAGAUACCUCUUCGGAAUAUGGCUAGGGAGGAGUCCUGCUUCGAAGGAUUGAGAAGAGAUUGAAAUAAGAGCUCCCAAGGCAAAUUGAGAAGUGGGGAAUGUGCUUCCAUUGAGAAAAAUGAAAGACAGACCCUAUCGGCACCUCCCCUAUGAUUGAAAGAGGAACCUCUGGGCAAGGCAGAGGAGAGACAUUUGUGCUUUCAUAGUUUGUAGUGGGAAUCAGCCAAAAAAAUGCUAAAAAGGAUGGUAUUAUUGAGACAAUUGGUGAAAUUUGAAGAAGGUCUGCAGAUGAGAUAAUACUAUUGCAUCCAUGUUAAUUUUCUUGAUUUGAACAACUGUACUGGAUUAUGGAAGAUAAUGACUUGUUUUUAGGAAAGACCCACGGAACUAUUAUAAGGGGGCAUUAUAUUUCAAAUGGCUCAGAUCUUAAAAGUAUGUAGAGACAGAGCAAAAAUUAUAAAGCAAAUGUGGCAAAUUGUUAACAACUGAGGAAUCCUGCUAAAAGCUAUGUAUUAAUAGAAGGUUUUUGUGCCAUCCUUGCAACUUUUCAACUAAGUUUGAAAUUGUUUCAAAAUGAAAGUUUUCAAAAACACUUAAAAACAUUUGCAAUAUGUUCAUUCAUACUGUUUGAAUCUUGUUCGGUGAGAAUACAUUCAUGCGUUAAUAGAGUGUUGCGUGUUUUUUUGUCUGUCUGUCUGUUUGUUUGUUUGUUCUCAAGACGGAGUCUUGCUCUGUCUCCCAGCUGGACUGAAAUGGCGUGAUCUCGGCUCACUGCAACCUCUGCCUCUCGGGUUCAAGCGAUUCUCCUGCCUCAGCCUCCUGAGCAGCUGGGAUUACAGGUGCCUGCCACCACGACCAGCUAAUUUUUUGUAUUUUUAUUAGAGACGGCGUUUCACCAGUUGGCCAGGCUGGUCUCGAACUCCUGACCUUGUGAUCCACCCACCUCAGCCUCCCAAAGUGCUGGGAUUACAGUCGUGAGUCACCGCGCCCGGCUGAGUGUUGCGUAUUUUUAAUGAUUGAACUGACACAGCGUGAUGGUUAAUUGUAUGUGUCAACUUGAUUGGGCUCAGAGAUGCUCAGGAGCUGGCAACGCGGAAAUACAUCCGGCAUUAAAAUAAAUGCAAUUAAAAGUAAAA
rnacentral:lncRNA from 1 species